rnacentral:rRNA from 2 species
UGGGGAAUCUUCCGCAAUGGGCGAAAGCCUGACGGAGCAACGCCGCGUGAAUGAAGAAGGCCUUCGGGUCGUAAAGUUCUGUCUUUAGGGAAGAACCGCAUACCUGUGAAUAAUUGGUAUGCCUGACGGUACCUAAGGAGGAAGCUCCGGCUAACUACGUGCCAGCAGCCGCGGUAAUACGUAGGGAGCAAGCGUUGUCCGGAAUUACUGGGCGUAAAGGGCGCGUAGGCGGGGAUUUAAGUUAGAUGUGAAAACACCGGGCUCAACUUGGUGACUGCAUUUAAAACUGGAUUUCUUGAGGGCAGGAGAGGAAAGUGGAAUUCCUAGUGUAGCGGUGAAAUGCGUAGAUAUUAGGAGGAACAUCAGUGGCGAAGGCGACUUUCUGGACUGUACCUGACGUUGAUGCGCGAAAGCGUGGGGAGCAAACGGG